GCCCCGGUGGCCCAACUGGCAGAGGCGAACGACUCAAAAUCGUUAGGUUGUGGGUUCGAAUCCCACCCGGGGCA
rnacentral:tRNA from 1 species